GGUGUCCCUGGUUUGGGAAGUAUAAAUCCCGUGGGAAGUCAGCUGGAGAACAUUUUACGCAUCGCUCAUUCUGUUACGAGCCUGCUGCUCUUCCCUCUCCCGACAAGG
ensembl:misc_RNA predicted gene, 27366